rfam:Lachnoclostridium sp. An118 An118_contig_4, whole genome shotgun sequence.
CGAUGCCAGGGGCAAAAGGUCUAAGCCCACAUGAGCUUGCUCAUAAGUGGGUGAAAGACCUUGGGACCCGCCCCGAUAUGAGCAUAAAAGUGGGAUGUAUAUCCCACGAUAUGCGAAUAUCGGGUAGGAUUGUGAGAGUGCGCAGCACGGAACAAUCCGCAGGCAUCG